GCUGCGAGUGCAGCGGGUGUUAGGGAGCUGUCCCGCCGCUGCCGAGGACGUCGGGGGGCGGAAGGCAGCGCUCCAACGGUUGGGGAGUGGUUUCUUGUUUGGACUAGUUGAGCUGAUUAUUCAAGAGAAAUCUACAACAGUGCACCCUGUGAAGAUAUGGAGCGAAUCAUUGAUACCAGAAAAAGCUGGAAAUACUCAGCAGAGUGCUGCAAUUUACCCCCAACAAACUUCCCGUUGGAGUGGAACUAAUCUACAGGGUAAAUGGGAGAAUGUUCGACCUAUGUUGCCUCUUCAGAUCAAAGGUCACCUUAAUCUCCAUAAGUGAGCUGCAGCAUGCAGCCAAUGCUAGUGUUUGUGUAUGUUCGGCUGAGCUCCAAAGUCAUUAUUGACUGGUUCACUGAAGCAAAUGAGAGGAUCAGCCUUACAGUCAACACAUGCAAAAGAAAGUUCCUGUAAACUCAAUGAACAACAUCACCCUCUCACAAUAAAGAUUCCUGGCAUUACUUUGUUUCAGCAAAUGCAGACAUCAAUAAUGAAAUUCACAAUGGCCUUCAGUGCACCAGCUCAAUCUUUGGCUGGCUAAGGAAAUUGAUGUUGAUAUUUCAAGAUCUCAUAUCCGCACAAAAUGAUGAUCCAUGCCCUCCUCUAUGUUUCUGAGACUUGGACUACCUAUACCGUUACUGCUGUUUGCACAAAAUCUUCAAAAUCCACUGGAGGGAGAAGUGUGCCAACAUUCCUAGCAUUGAGACUUCACCACACUCCCUCCCCACUAUUAGACAAGCCAUGUCAAUCAAUAGCCAACAUCGGAAGCCUGAAAAAGACACCAGGCUCAGUCACAGGAAGAGAUUUGCAGGCAGGCUGAAUUACCUCCUAGAGCUUUCCAUCAAAAAAAAACAUUCCCACUAACUCCUGAGAAUCGCUGACUCAUGCCCUCUCAAAGUGUAGAAGUAGCUAUUGGGAUGACACAACUAACCUUGAGUGCAUGCUGCGGGAGUGUAAACAGAAAAAGAGGUGCCCUAUUUUAGAAACUAUUUACCAGCUGUUCUGUGGGGCAUCUCCUGCCCCAUCUGUGAUAGAGUCUGUGGAUCCCACAGUGGCCUCAUCAAUCAUCUCCUAAUUGCCAAAACCUGAGUGGAUGUAAGCCGUUCUUAAUCUUGAGAAAGUAAGAACUUGUUUAAAUUACCCCAAUUGAACAAGAAUUAACAUUUUAUUUGAUAUUUUUGUAGUGAAUAUUAGGUUGAAUUUUACAUUAAAUCUUUGAAUCUGUUUUGAUUACACCUGUAAUAUGGGCAACAGCACAUCCUAUGGAGGAAUACAGUAUUAAAACAACUUCUGCAUUUAUCUUUCUUUUGUAUUAUAUUCAUUUACUAAGAGAUCAUGGGAUCUACAGAUUUUUUUAUAUUUUAUUGUUCUUUAUGAUUACCUAUGCCAUGA